UAAUAACACUUAUUUUACAAGCUUAUUAUGUGAAUUAAAUAAGUUAGUAUUAGUGAAAGCAUCUGGCACAGACCCUGGGAUUGAGCACGGUGGUGAAUAAAUAUUGGUGUAACUCAUUCGCGGAUCCAUUCAUUCAUCCUCUCUUAUGGCUUCAGGCCACUGCUCCUGGCAGAUGUGGGAAGAAGACAGACCCUGACGUGCCUCCCUCGGCCCAGCCUUCUGCAGGCGGCCUCAGCUCUAGAGACCUGCUGCUCUGUCUUUCCCUCUGCUCAUCCUGAGCAUCUGCAAAACCCAUUUGCCAGGGGAGCUCACGGUCCAGCCAGGUCUCUGUGUGAUCCUCGGAGUUCCCUCCUCGGAUUUAUUCUACCAAAGAAGCUCUGUUUGUGUAGGGCUCUGGGGCCGGCCAAGUGGCGC